rnacentral:rRNA from 1 species
AAUGGGGGAAACCCUGACGCAGCAACGCCGCGUGGGUGAUGAAGGCCUUCGGGUCGUAAAGCCCUGUCGGGAGGGAAGAAAUGAUUGAGGGUUAAUACCUCUUGAUCUUGACGGUACCUCCGAAGGAAGCACCGGCUAACUCCGUGCCAGCAGCCGCGGUAAUACGGAGGGUGCGAGCGUUAUCCGGAUUUACUGGGUUUAAAGGGUGCGUAGGCGGCCCUGCAAGUCAGCGGUGAAAUGUGGCGGCUCAACCGUUUCGCUGCCGCUGAUACUGUGGGGCUUGGAUGCGGUCGAGGCGGGUGGAAUUCGUGGUGUAGCGGUGAAAUGCAUAGAUAUCACGAGUAACGCCGAUAGCGAAGGCAGCUCGCCGGGCCGCGAUCGACGCUGAGGCGCGAAAGCGUGGGGAUCAAA